rnacentral:ncRNA from 1 species
UGGUCCUGGCCUUGAAAUCAGUUUUUACCCUAUUUAUACAUGCAAGUCUCCGCACCCCUGUGAGAACGCCCUUAAUUUCUAUUUGAAACAAGGAGCCGGUAUCAGGCACAAAAAUUAGCCCAAGACACCUAGUCACGCCACACCCACAAGGGAAUUCAGCAGUAAUCAACAUUGUUCAUAAGCGACAGCUUGACCCAGUUAUAGUAAAGAGGGCAGGCAAACCUGGUGCCAGCCGCCGCGGUUACACCAUGAGGCCCAAAUUGAUUUUUUUCGGCGUAAAGAGUGAUUUAAGUGUAUUCUUACCCUGUAGUCAAACUACUAUUAAGUAGUGAUAAGCUUAUAUAUAGGAAGCCCGAAAACGAAAGUUACUACACCUACAACUACUUGAACUCACCACAGCUGAGGCACAAACUAGGAUUAGAGACCCUACUAUGCUCAACCUCAAACUUUCAAUUACACCUCAAACGCCAGGGAACUACGAGCAAAGCUUAAAACCCAAAGGACUUGACGGUGCCCCAUAUCCCCCUAGAGGAGCCUGUCCUAUAAUCGAUAACCCCCGUUUUACCUCACCACUUUUAGCCUAGUCAGUCUGUAUACCUCCGUCGCCAGCUUACCACGUGAGUGAAAGACAGUAAGUAUAAUGUCUCUCGUCCAUACGUCAGGUCAAGGUGCAACUCAUAAAGUGGAAAGAGAUGGGCUACACUUUCUAAUAUAGAAUAAACGGAAAACUACUUGAAAACUAGUUUAAAGGCGGAUUUAGUAGUAAAAAAGAACUAGAGAGCCUUUUUUAAUUCGGCCCUGGGGUGUGUACACACCGCCCGUCACCCUCUUCGUAACUACCCAUUAGUAUCUAACAAGAUUUUUUCAAUAGAAGAGGCAAGUCGUAACAUGGUAAGUAUACCGGAAGGUGUGCUUGGAAA